UACGUAGGGACCGAGCGUUGUCCGGAUUCAUUGGGCGUAAAGAGCUCGUAGGCGGCCACUCAAGUCGAAUGUGAAACCUCGAGGCUCAACCUCGAGCCUGCAUUCGAUACUGGGCGGCUAGAGUCUGGUAGGGGGAUCUGGAAUUCCUGGUGUAGCGGUGAAAUGCGCAGAUAUCAGGAGGAACACCGGUGGCGAAGGCGGAUCUCUGGGCCUUACCUGACGCUCAGGUGCGAAAGCUAGGGGAGCGAACAGG
rnacentral:rRNA from 1 species